AUUUCUCUGAGGACGAGAAAAGAAGAUCAACGCGAGGGACAUCUCUGAAGAAGAAAGCGAAGACUACUUCGACAAAACUGACGCAUGAAUUUUAUCUACUAAGGUUGCAAGUACUGAAAUAUCUUAUGCUUCCAAUGUAAGGCCGGAUACUUCUGAUUUCAUGCAGUUAGUCUCACUUUCUGACAAAGGAAGGAUGAGUGCUCUUAAUUCAAUGCAUGGCAUUAUUCAACCAGAAAAUACUGCAAGAACUGAAGAAGCCAAUUCAACAAAUGAUGCAACCAGUGGUGCUACUCCAAGAAA